rnacentral:rRNA from 1 species
AUUGAACGCUGGCGGCAGGCCUAACACAUGCAAGUCGAGCGGAGCGGCGGACGGGUGAGUAAUGCCUAGGAAUCUGCCUGGUAGUGGGGGAUAACGUCCGGAAACGGGCGCUAAUACCGCAUACUAUCAGAUGAGCCUAGUUUGGAUUAGCUAGUUGGUGGGGUAAAGGCCUACCAAGGCGACGAUCCGUAACUGGUCUGCGAGGAGGAUAAGUCACACUGGAACUAAGAAACGGUCCAAACUCCUACGGGAGGUAGAAGUGGGGAAUAUUGGAAAAUUGGUGAAGGCCUGAACCAGCCAUGCCGCUUGUGUGAAGAAGGGCUUCGGAUUGGAAAGCACUUUAAGUUGGGAGGCGUUACCAACAGAAUAAGCACCGGCUAACUUCGUGCCAGCAGCCGCGGUAAUUC